CCUACGGGCGGCAGCAGUGGGGAAUAUUCCGCAAUGGGCGCGAGCCUGAACCAGCCAAGCAGCGUGAAGGAUGACUGCCUUACGGGUGUUAAACUUCUUUUUUAGAGGAGUAAAGUGAGGCACGUGUGCCUUUUCGUAUUUACUUUACGUAUAAGGAUCGGCUAACUACGUGCCAUCCUCCGCGGCAAUACGGAGGAUACGAGCGUUGUCCGGAUUUAUUGGGUUGAAAGGGAACGUAGAGGGGUUGUUAAGUCAGAUGUGAAAGUUUGCGGCUCAACCGUAAAAUUGCAAUUGAUACUGGCAGUCUUGAGUACAGUAGAGGUAGGCGGAAUUCGUGGUGUAGCGGUGAAAUGCGUAGAUAUCACGAAGAACACCGAUGGCGAAGGCAGCUUACUAAACUGCCACUGACACUGAUGCUCGAAAGUGUGGGUAUCAAACAGGAUUAGAUACCCGAGUAGUC
rnacentral:rRNA from 1 species